rnacentral:lncRNA from 1 species
GGUGUGCCCGUGGCCUAUUUUUGGCACACGGAGGCCGCCCGCAAAGUCUGGGGCCAUUCCGAGUCCGGCGGACGAACUUCGCCCACGCCCCCAACCAAGGCUAUAGCCCACCCGUUUUUUGGCCAUUUUUCCGCUGGGGGGUCUUGGCGCCCCGACCUUCGGGGGCUGAAUUUUGGGCGCGGGUGUGCCCGUGGCCUAUUUUUGGCACACGGAGGCCGCCCGCAAAGUCUGGGGCCAUUCCGAGUCCGGCGGACGAACUUCGCCCACGCCCCCCACCAAGGCUAUAGCCCACCCGUUUUUUGGCCAUUUUUCCGCUGGGGGGUCUUGGCGCCCCGACCUUCGGGGGCUGAUUUUUGGGCGCGGGUGUGCCCGUGGCCUAUUUUUGGCACACGGAGGCCGCCCGCAAAGUCUGGGGCCAUUGCGAGUCCGGCGGACGAACUUCGCCCACGCCCCCCACCAAGGCUAUAGCCCACCCGUUUUUUGGCCAUUUUUCCGCUGGGGGGUCUUGGCGCCCCGACCUUCGGGGGCUGAAUUUGGGGCGCGGGUGUGCCCGUGGCCUAUUUUUGGCACACGGAGGCCGCCCGCAAAGUCUGGGGCCAUUCCGAGUCCGGCGGACGAACUUCGCCCACGCCCCCCACCAAGGCUAUAGCCCACCCGUUUUUUGGCCAUUUUUCCGCUGGGGGGUCUUGGCGCCCCGACCUUCGGGGGCUGAAUUUUGGGCGCGGGUGUGCCCGUGGCCUAUUUUUGGCACACGGAGGCCGCCCGCAAAGUCUGGGGCCAUUCCGAGUCCGGCGCACGAACUUCGCCCACGCCCCCCACCAAGGCUAUAGCCCACCCGUUUUUUGGCCAUUUUUCCGCUGGGGGGGCUUGGCGCCCCGACCUUCGGGGGCUGAAUUUUGGGCGCGGGUGUGCCCGUGGCCUAUUUUUGGCACACGGAGGCCGCCCGCAAAGUCUGGGGCCAUUCCGAGUCCGGCGGACGAACUUCGCCCACGCCCCCCACCAAGGCUAUAGCCCACCCGUUUUUUGGCCAUUUUUCCGCUGGGGGGUCUUGGCUCCCCGACCUUCGGGGGCUGAUUUUUGGGCGCGGGUGUGCCCGUGGCCUAUUUUUGGCACACGGAGGCCGCCCGCAAAGUCUGGGGCCAUUGCGAGUCCGGCGGACGAACUUCGCCCACGCCCCCCACCAAGGCUAUAGCCCACCCGUUUUUUGGCCAUUUUUCCGCUGGGGGGUCUUGGCGCCCCGACCUUCGGGGGCUGAAUUUUGGGCGCGGGUGUGCCCGUGGCCUAUUUUUGGCACACGGAGGCCGCCCGCAAAGUCUGGGGCCAUUCCGAAUCCGGCGGACGAACUUCGCCCACGCCCCCCACCAAGGCUAUAGCCCACCCGUUUUUUGGCCAUUUUUCCGCUGGGGGGUCUUGGCGCCCCGACCUUCGGGGGCUGAAUUUUGGGGGCGGGUGUGCCCGUGGCCUAUUUUUGGCACACGGAGGCCGCCCGCAAAGUCUGGGGCCAUUCCGAGUCCGGCGGACGAGCUUCGCCCACGCCCCCCACCAAGGCUAUAGCCCACCCGUUUUUUGGCCAUUUUUCCGCUGGGGGGUCUUGGCGCCCCGACCUUCGGGGGCUUAAUUUUGGGCGCGGGUGUGCCCGUGGCCUAUUUUUGACACACGGAGGCCGCCCGCAAAGUCUGGGGCCAUUCCGAGUCCGGCGGACGAACUUCGCCCACGUCCCCCACCAAGGCUAUAGCCCACCCAUUUUUUGGCCAUUUUUCCGCUGGGGGGUCUUGGCGCCCCGACCUUCGGGGGCUGAUUUUUGGGCGCGGGUGUGCCCGUGGCCUAUUUUUGGCACACGGAGGCCGCCCACAAAGUCUGGGGCCAUUCCGAGUCCGGCGGACGAACUUCGCCCACGCCCCCCACCAAGGCUAUAGCCCACCCGUUUUUUGGCCAUUUUUCCGCUGGGGGGUCUUGGCGCCCG